AUUUAUAUUAAUACCCUAUAUUGUUUUUUUAUUUGGGGAUGAAGUGCGCAGGAGUUUUGUAGUGUGGGUGAUGAUGCUUGUCUUAUUCUGUGGGAUGCUCGAACUGGCACUGCCCCAGCUGUUAAGGUUGAGAAAGCUCAUAGUGGAGAUGUUCAUUGUGUUGAUUGGAAUCCCCUUGAUGUGAACUAUAUCUUAACUGGGUCUGCCGAUAACUCUGUCUGAAUGUGGGAUCGUCGGAAUCUGGGUUCAGGAGGAGCUGGUUCUCCAAUUCACAAAUUUGAAGGCCAUAAAGUUGUUGUUCUUUGU